GGGACCUGAGAGGGCUCAGAGACCUGGCAGGGGAGUGAUGGGGAACCAGGAGGGUGGGGGGCCUGCCCCCAGCAGCCAGAGCUCAGGAGCAGGCUGUGAAGCAGGGCCCGGGUCUCGCUCUAGAGCUGGAUGCCGACCCUUACGAUCCUGCAGAGGAGGACCCGGCCAAGAGCCGCGCCCUGGAGAGCUCGCUGUGGGAGCUGCAGACCCUCCAGCGGCAUUACCACCCCGAGGUGUCGCAGGCCGCCAGCGUCAUCAACCAGGUGCUGUCGGUGCCUGAGACCAGCAUCGCACCCCUGCUGGAGCUCACGGCGUUCGAGGUGUUCGAGCGGGACCUGAAGAAGAAGAGGGGCCAGGAGUCGGUGCCCCUGGAGUUCCUCCCGGCGCAGGGGCUGCUGGGCCGGCAGGAUGAUCUCUGCGCCCAGCACUUCACGCUCAGCUGACCCUGAGCGCCCGCUCCCCGCCCCCACCUGUGGUUUUGUAAGAGAGAGAUGGGGGUGGGCUGUGGGUGGCGGGGCGGAGUCCGGGGAGCGCUGGCCUGUCUUCUGACUGCUCCGGCGGCCGGGUCUGCAGGCUGGUGGUCACAGUGCCGGCCGUGCACGGAGGGCGCCUCGUGUCCACCCGCGGCCCCCCACGCCUGCCCCCUGCCUCUUCCCUUCUCUGGAAGUCUCUCCCUUAGCCGGAGCCCAGGUGGGCGUGGGGCCAGGGUGGGGGUCGGGGGCUGCGGCCACACGGGGCUCUGGGUGCACUGGGUGGUGGCUUCUGCCAGCCCUGUGUGACCCCCGGGCCCCUUACGUCCAAGCUUCUGGGCCACACCCCCUCCCUGCUGCAGCUGGACUGUGACCUGGGAGCGACAGUGAGGGUUCUCUGUCCUGGUUAGUCGUGGGCAGCACGGAGCACAAGCCACCUGUUCCCAGUCAAGCUGAGGAGGACCUACUUCUUUGUCCCAUGGUACCCGUGGUCCCAGGUGCACGGUGGGCGUGUCUGCCCCACGAGGGGCAGUUACGGGUGGAGUCACCUGAACCGUCGCGGCCCCGAGUGGUGUGGGUGCUGGCAGCUGCAGGCCGGUCGUUUGCUGUGUUUCCGGGUUCUUUCUUCAAGGCCCUGUUUCUGCCGGGCGAGCUUGGUUCUCCUCCGGCGUGAGUCCGGCUUCCUCUUAAAAACCGUCUUGCUUAGGGAGAGAGUCACGUGAGUGAUAGCCACUCCCGUGGGUUUGGGGGCCUGGCGGAGAUGCGGGUGUGGGUGCAGAGCCAGGGAGGGGGCGUCCCUGGUUCUGCAGCCUCUUGCCUGAGCCCCCCUCCCCGCCCCCACAGGAGCACCUGGAGUCACAGCAGGCAGUGGUUUGGCCGCUUGGGUCUCUAGGGAGCUGCCCCAGUGGCCCAGGACCCUUGUGUGCCUGGUGGGGACGCUGGGUGAGGGGUGAAGGGGUGCUGCUUCUACGUACACCUGUGUGGUUUUAGGGAUGCUAGCGCCCCGCCCCCUAGUGGUACCGUCCUGGCCCCAUCUCAAGUCCGCUUCUGCCCCCGGGCCUUUGCGCUGCCUUCUCUGCAGCUUUGCUCUCUGCUCCUGCCUGCGGACCCCAAGCCGAGGGAGGCCUCAGGGAAGCCUCUGCCCGGCAUCCUGUCUGUCGGUAACAGCUCCGGGCAUGCACGUGGGGUGCUGCCUGUUCACGGCCCCGCUGCCAUCAGUGCCCCAUGGACGGUCCCUGCCACCCUUCCCAGAGACCGAGGGAAGUUCGUCACGACCUGGUCCUCGUCUGGCCCCUGGGGCCCGGGACUUACCCAGCACAGAGGAGGGGUGCAUACACAUCUGUGGUAGAAGGGCCCGGGGGUCCUGAGCCGCCUGCUUCCGGCAGAGUUUGGCGCGUCCGAGGCCGUCCUGGCCCCAGCUGAGCCCCGGCAUGGGGACACCGGGGGGCAGCCCUGGAAGGACUGAGGCCUCACGCUGAUUGAGAGAGAUGCCAUCCUGCUUUUUAAAGUAAAACUACAGGACUCUUAUCAAGCAGGUUUUCUCGAUUGUUGCAGCAUCGUGUGCUGUCGGUAGCCUUCCUCCUUCCAGCGGGUCCGGGGCUCACCCCUGCACGUCCCGCCCGCGACACCCCCUCACCCCCGCGCCUCGGCAGCUGCGCUUUGUGGUGUUUCUCGACCUCUGGGCCCCAUGGCCCCGGGGGCAGGUGGCUGAGGGGACGCAGGGCGGGGACAGAUGGAGAAGACCGGCAGGGAGGCGCCCCUGGGACCUCAGCACCUGAUGGCCGUCAGGGCCGGGCUUUCAGGGGCUCGAGAACCGUCUGGGAUCUGAGUACAAGACCCCUGGGGCCCGGGGUCUGCGUUUGCAGGGGCUCCCAAGCCGGGGCGGGGGGGGCACGGUGACCGGAGGUCUGCAGGCGGCGCCCCCUGCGCUGAGGGCCCUUCUCCCCGGCAGCUCCCAGCCCGCGGCCCCGCGGCCUCCAUGUCCCGCCCUGACUCCCUGAGGCGCUGACGGCCGGCGUCGUGCACUUCAGUGGUCCGAGUGCCGUCGGCUCCGCGAUGGCAGAGCCGUGUGCCUCGUCCCCUUGUCCGCGAGUGUCCCAGCACCCGGGACGGCGGCUGGCGCCUGUGUGUUUCCUCCAGCUGAUCUCUCAGAACCGGUCUUCCUGGGGAGCCAGGCCUGAGGCGCUGUGGGUUCCCUACACACAGAGAACUCUGUGUGGUGCCUUGGGGGGAACUGACUGUGACGGGGACGGGGGGGGGCGGGGGGCAGGUCCCUGGAGCCCCGUGGGCGGCAGGGGGGAGCGAGCGGCUCCAGGCUGCACCGGGACAGCAGAGCGGUUAUUUCCUCUCCUGUGAACCGACUGCCUUUUUCCCAAUUAAGAUGCAGUUCUGGUUUUGUUUAUCAUUUUUAAAUUACAAACGCAAGGCAAAGCUAAUUAACGAGUUCCAGUGACACUCGGGCUCUUCCCUGCGAACCUCUCGGCCUUGGUGCCUCUCUCCCUCUCUCUCUCUCUCUCUCUCUCUCUCGUUCUCUCUCCACCGUUCAUGCCCUCAGGUGCCAGCACUGCCACCCCAGGUCCCCACCCGAUGUUGACCCUCCUCUCUGCUGUGAGCUCCCCUGCCACUCAGCGGUCCUCCCUUGCUGUGCUCCCUGUGGUGCCCACGCAUUCACCUGCCACAAGUCCACGGCAGCCACCCUCGCCCCAGGAGGCCACCCGGCUGGGUCUGCACGAGUUUGUUUGCAGCUGGGGACAUCACACCCUAGCUUGAGUCAAAAGUUUUUAAAAACCAAUUUUGGGGGGAAUUUGAAAUACACACUAAGUACCUUUUUAGUAGAAGUGUGUUCUAUGCAAUAUUUAGGAUGUACUUACACUGAAGAUUGAGAAGAAACCCACCUGAUAUAAAUGAAUCAUUUUAAAGUGUGUGA